rnacentral:tRNA from 1 species
GAAAUUGUGGCUCAGUGGUAGAGUGCUCGCCUAGCAUGCAUGAGGCACUGAGUUUGAUCCUCAGCACCA